GUUGAAAACACUGUAGCAAUUAAGUGGAAAAAACGCAGAUGAAAAAAACCAAACGCGGUACUGUAGCGGAACUGAAAACACUGUAGCAUAUAAAUACCAAAAUGAAAAACCCUUUUCCCCUUUCCUUCAUUCACUCUUCUUCGGACCCUAGCUAACGCCUCAGGAGAGUUCCACGCCCAUCAGAACUUCCGAAUGUCCCUUCUUACGCUGCUAUUCGUAAUUUCUCAUCAUCCGAAACCAAAACCUCCUUGAUCUCCCAAUUUCAAUUUCAACAUUCUAAACCAAAACCCUCUUUCUCAAACACUUCCACUUUCAAACCACCUCAUAACCCUAAUCUCUCUUUCACAUCAACUGGGUUUAGGUUCUUCUCUUCUGUCAACAAUGCUAACUUCGCCAUAAAGGUCUUCGACAAGCCCGCCACAGCUCUCUCUUCCGCUUUCUCUCGCUACCGCCAGGCCAUUGGUUCGCAAUUUGAGGCUUUCUUUAAGAUAAACUCUCUCUUUCUCUUUGGGGCCACUGUCGUUUUACUCUGUGCUUUGAUCUGGAGGUUUAUGUUCGGCAUAGCUAAUACCUUCAUUGGCCUCUCCGAAGGCAUGGCCAACUGGGUUCAUGAGAGUACCCCUGUGAAAAUGGAAAUCAUAUCUGUUGUAUGAAUAUGAUUUGAACGAAGUCAAGGGAUUAGUCUGUAGCUUGAUUAGUCUGUGCUGAGAUGGCAUGGUUGUUGUCUGCUGCUGCUGUUGCUGUUGCUGUUGCUGUUGUUGUUGUUGUUGUUGUUGUUGAUGUUGUUGUUGUUGUUGUUGUUGCUGCUGCUUACCUUUAUAGUUCUAGAAGUAUUCUGUUUGGUUCUAGUUAUUAUCCAUAGGUAGGUGUUUUGGUAGAAACAUCUUUGCUGAAAUGAUUACUUUCCUGCUGUUGUGUCAAGGAAUUGUUUAUGCUGCAAGCAAAAAUGCUGUAUUGUAUUAAUUUUUUUCAUAUGGUGCGGGAACUUGGUGCUUUGUCUUAUGGUUUUUCUGAUGCUUUUUCUAAUGUCAUCCUUGCCCGUUUUAACUUUCUUGUGCAGUUAAUUCAUUGACAUGAGUCCUCCACAUGGCUUACCCCAUCCCUUCUUCCGUUUUGGAAAUCCUUCCCGGAUGAUAUCACCCAAGGGUUGCAAUUUGUCUGAAAGGCUUCUUUUACUGUUGAACAAUUUUAAGGAAACCUUGGGUGGGAGGCUGAGAAAGCUUAACCCAACGGACCAGGUUACGAACUCAGCCAAAGGGAAGGUUUUAAUGCAUGCUAUGUAUGGGGUUUUUUUUUUUUUUAUGGUAUUUAUCUACAGUGUCUUUUCUUCACCCUUCUCUAGUUCUGCAAUAGAGUUGUUUGAUUUGAAUGUUGAUGACAAAGGGUUUUGUGGGCUCAAGCUUUUACUAGUUUGCAAACUAGCAUUAAUAGUGAAAUUAGAAAUUUAUAUUCAAGUGGAAGAUUUACAGUUUUGAAAGAGCUCGAAACAGUUGAUACAAGUGUAAAUAAAUUGUAUCCCAUGAUCCAAGGUGGUGUGGACCCUAUUAAAGCGGAAGCAUUCCUUGUCAUCCGUUUCAGAUUUGGCAAGGAGAGCAGAGGGACUUCCAUAAGGACUAUAGAUCUUCUUACAAAGGAAGUUGAUGGCUUUUUUCAUGUAGUUUUAACUAGGCGUGAUGCUUUGCUAUGUAAUGGUACUCUGUGACCCAAAGCUAGGUUGCUACAUAUGUAGAAAGAGUACAAUCUUAAUGAUAUUGAAGCUAUACUCUCUCCUGUAUACAAACAGGUUUUAUA